GCUUCAGCUCUGAAUACAAUGCACAUAAGCAAACAAAUAUAACAACAUCAGUUAAAUUCUGGUGGAGACUAUGAGAAUUUUUGAAAAUUGCAUUUGCACUCGAAACUCUAGUGGCUUCAGAGUUAAAUAAAGCAUGCUGAGAGGUCUAUCAAUGCAAAGAGUCAUCUAUGAAAUCUAUGAAAUCUCCACCUGGAUCUAAGGACCACUGGGCAAACAGCAUGGUGCUAAAUAUAACCAGCUAUUUUCCCCAUGAAGCAUAUCAGUUCAGAGCACUCAUGACUUCAAGGGUAGAAAGCGGUAACUAUCAUGACUCCUUGGGGG